rnacentral:rRNA from 1 species
GACGAACGCUGGCGGCGUGCUUAACACAUGCAAGUCGAACGGUGAAGCGCCUUCCUUUUUGGUGGGUGUGGAUGAGUGGCGAACGGGUGAGUAACACGUGAGUAACCUGCCCCCUUCUUCUGGAUAACCGCAUGAAAGUGUGGCUAAUACGGGAUAUUCUGGGUCUGUCGCAUGAUGGGUCUGGGAAAGAUAUUGUUUCGGUGGGGGAUGGGCUCGCGGCCUAUCAGCUUGUUGGUGGGGUGAUGGCCUACCAAGGCGGUGACGGGUAGCCGGCCUGAGAGGGUGGACGGUCACACGGGGUCUGAGACACGGCCAAGACUCCUACGGGAGGCAGCAGUGGGGAAUAUUGCACAAUGGGCGCAAGCCUGAUGCAGCGACGCCGCGUGAGGGAUGGAGGCCUUCGGGUUGUGAACCUCUUUCGCCAGUGAAGCAGGCCUGCCUCGUUUGUGGGUGGGUUGACGGUAGCUGGAUAAGAAGCGCCGGCUAACUACGUG